rnacentral:rRNA from 1 species
UACGGAAGGCAGCAGUGGGGAAUAUUGCACAAUGGGCGAAAGCCUGAUGCAGCUAUGCCGCGUGUAUGAAGAAGGCCUUAGGGUUGUAAAGUACUUUCAUCGGGGAGGAAAAAACAAAACUAAUAAUUUUAUUUCUUGACGUUACCCGAAAAAGAAGCACCGGCUAACUCCGUGCCAGCAGCCGCGGUAAUACGGAGGGUGCUAGCGUUAAUCAGAAUUACUGGGCGUAAAGAGCACGUAGGUGGUUUUUUUUAAGUCAGAUGUGAAAUCCCUGGGCUUAACCUGGAACUGCAUUUUGAAACUGAAAUACUAGAGUAUCAUAGAGGGAGGUAGAAUUCUAGGUGUAGCGGUGAAAUGCGUAGAUAUCUGGAGGAAUACCUGUGGCGAAAGCGGCCUCCUAAACGAAUACUGACACUGAGGUGCGAAAGCGUGGGGAGCAAACGAGGGAUUAGAUACC